CCUACGGGCGGCUGCAGUGGGGAAUAUUGGGCAAUGGGCGCAAGCCUGACCCAGCAAAGCCGCGUGAAGGAAGAAGGCUUUCGGGUUGUAAACUUCUUUUGUCAGGGACGAAGCACGUGACGGUACCUGCCGAAUAAGCCACGGCUAACUACGUGCCAGCAGCAGCGGUAAUACGUCGGUGGCAAGCGUUAUCCGGAUUUACUGGGUGUAAAGGGCGUGUAGGCGGGACUGCAAGUCAGAUGUGAAAACCACGGGCUCAACCUGGGGCCUGCAUUUGAAACUGUAGUGCUUGAGUACUGGAGAGGCAGGCGGAAUUCCUAGUGUAGCGGUGAAAUGCGUAGAUAUGAGGAGGAACACCAGUGGCGAAGGCGGUCUGCUGGACAGCAACUGACGCUGAGGCUCGAAAGCGUGGGGAGCAAACAGGAUUAGAUACCCUAGUAGUC
rnacentral:rRNA from 1 species